GCGCUUGCUUCGGCAGCACAUAGGCUAAAAUUGUAAUGUUACAGAGAAUAGCAGCAUGGCCCCCGUACAAGAAUGACACAAAAAUUCAUUGGGCAAUCCAUCAUGUU